GCUGACCAGAGUGCUGGGAGCGCGGAUCCCGGGCCGGGAGCGGGAAAAGAGAAACGAGAGGGGCCAGAGGGCAAAAUGGACGCAAGACAGAGAACUCAAGAGAAAAAGAAAAAGAUUCAUUGGAAAGCAGGGAAAGAGGAGAAACCUGGACAUAACUUCUGAGCCAUAUUUUUGGAACCGUGCCUCUAUUGUCUGGGCCUGCGACUCUGACGUCUACUAAAUAUGAGGAAUUAUGAAGUGAUUGUUAAAUAUUUGAACAGCUAAGGGAAACCGGAAGUAAUGAGAAACAAAACACCCUACAGAUCUGAGUCACAGGAGAUCCACUGUGGCAGGCCCUGUCAACCUCAGCUCCAGCCAUUGUUUUAUGUGUAUAUAUGCCCAGAGAAGAAGCUGUCUGUCUGAAGGUCCCAACUGCCAGCCAUUUAAACUGGGAAGAACAGAAACACAGUUGGAGAACCUCACUCUUCCACUUAGCUCUGAUCAGAAAUUGUUUUUUGCCAGGACUGAGAGGCCACUAGAAUAUCUGUAUCUAAAUGAAACUAUUGUUUUUUGCUGGUUACUCUUUAGGUUUUAAUUUUCCACUGUUAUGUGGACGAUAUGUAAAGUUAAGAUGUAUGAUCGCGUUUUUGGGAGGAUGAGGCAUGGGAUUGUGAGUUUGAUAGCUGGAACUAGUUUACAUCUCGUUUGUUGAGACAUGGGUUCAAUCUGUAGCCUAGAUUGUCCUAGAACUUUCUGUGUAGUCCAGGCUGCUUUGAACUUAUGGAUAUCCUCUUACCUUAGCUUCUAGAAUGCUGAGAUCAUACAUGUGAGCCGUUAUGCUCUAUGUAUAUGUAUUUCUCAA
rnacentral:lncRNA from 1 species